rnacentral:rRNA from 1 species
GGCAUCUGUGCAUGCAGCAUAUCAAUAAGCGGAGGAAAAGAAGGGAAUGAACGCUACCUACGCUUAGGAUGUUGACACACGCGCGUGCUCGACUCUAUACAUGACUCUGUGCAUAUCAAUAAGCGGAGGAAAAGAAACUAACAAGGAUUCCCUUAGUAACGGCGAGUGAAGCGGGAAGAGCUCAAAUUUGAAAUCUUCAAGGUUUUACCUUGACGAAUUGUAGUUUAAAGAAGUGUUUUCUGUUGAAGUUUUGGUAAAAGUUCUUUGGAAUAGGACAUCAUAGAGGGUGAGAAUCCCGUAUUUGACCAUUAUUUUCAGCUGUGUGAUACACUUUCAAAGAGUCGGAUUGUUUGGGAAUGCAGUCCAAAAGUGGGUGGUAAAUUUCAUCUAAAGCUAAAUAUUGGCGAGAGACCGAUAGCGAACAAGUACCGUGAGGGAAAGAUGAAAAGAACUUUGAAAAGAGAGUUAAACAGUACGUGAAAUUGUCAAAAGGGAAGCGUUUGACACCAGUGUUGUUUUCUCGAAAAUCAAUUAAAAAGAGUUUGAUUUUGUUGUGUAUUGACCUUAACAGCUUGCAUUUCAAUUUUCUUGCUUUUUUUAAUGCACUUUUCGUGUAACAAGUCAACAUCAGUUUCUUUUGUUGUAAAAAGGUCAUUGGAAGGUGGCUUUCUUUUCGGAGAAAGUGUUUAUAGCCUUUGACUCCUGCAAUCGGAGAGACUGAGGUCUGCAGCGUAGAUCCUUCGGGGUUAGAUACAUUUGUGCUAAGUUAUAGCUUUUUAUAGACAACUUGUUGACUAUGAUUAGUCUUGUAGCUUACUCGCUUAUGCUAUUUUACCUACGCUUAGGAUGUUGACACACGCGCGUGCUCG